GAUGAACGCUGGCGGCGUGCCUAAUACAUGCAAGUCGAGCGAACAGACAAGGAGCUUGCUCCUCUGACGUUAGCGGCGGACGGGUGAGUAACACGUGGAUAACCUACCUAUAAGACUGGGAUAACUUCGGGAAACCGGAGCUAAUACCGGAUAGUAUAUUGAACCGCAUGGUUCAAUAGUGAAAGACGGUUUUGCUGUCACUUAUAGAUGGAUCCGCGCCGCAUUAGCUAGUUGGUAAGGUAACGGCUUACCAAGGCGACGAUGCGUAGCCGACCUGAGAGGGUGAUCGGCCACACUGGAACUGAGACACGGUCCAGACUCCUACGGGAGGCAGCAGUAGGGAAUCUUCCGCAAUGGGCGAAAGCCUGACGGAGCAACGCCGCGUGAGUGAUGAAGGUCUUCGGAUCGUAAAACUCUGUUAUUAGGGAAGAACAAAUGUGUAAGUAACUAUGCACGUCUUGACGGUACCUAAUCAGAAAGCCACGGCUAACUACGUG
rnacentral:rRNA from 1 species